rnacentral:rRNA from 1 species
CAGCAGCCGCGGGAAUACAGAGGGUGCAAGCGUUAAUCGGAAUUACUGGGCGUAAAGCGCGCGUAGGUGGUUUGUUAAGUUGGAUGUGAAAUCCCCGGGCUCAACCUGGGAACUGCAUCCAAAACUGGCAGGCUAGAGUAGGGCAGAGGGUGGUGGAAUUUCCUGUGUAGCGGUGAAAUGCGUAGAUAUAGGAAGGAACACCAGUGGCGAAGGCGACCACCUGGGCUCAUACUGACACUGAGGUGCGAAAGCGUGGGGAGCAAACAGGAUUAGAUACCCCCGUAGUCCCUGUCUCUUAUAC